CGGGAGAAGGAUAGCCGAGAGAUCCUAUUGCCGAGGACAAUUUGUCACGAGCUGCGCGUACACGGUGGCCUCGAUCAUUCAAAGUCAACAAAUGUUACAUUGAAACCGCCCAUAAUUUUCAAAGGCACCCCACGGCCGACAUUUUCAUUGUGCUGUGGCAUUAUUAUUAUUAUCAUUAUGAUGACGAUUACGAUCGCGGUUCUUGCAAUUGCGACGCACCCUGUUUAGAACUCUAAAACACAACGUAGGUGCUUUUUCUUAGAAUAUUUUCGAUCAUUUGUUAGGUUACGUUGUCACCGCGUAUAAUUGCUAUUAUAGAGGCGU